AGUCCCAAAUUUGAAUCUUUUGCUGAGGAGCUUGGCUGGUUCAGGUGGAGGAUGUCAUGUUACAUCAGGUGUUUUUCAGAGAAGAGUGGCGCUUUAACAGCCAGCUCAAAAGGAGGGAAUUUCCUUUCCAGACAGAAUGACCAGGCAGACUGAAUUCCUGCGAUGGAGGAUGAGGAUGGAGGCAACUCGGAGACUCACCUUGUGCAGAGAGCCAAGUGUUAGCUGCCACCAUCCUUGAUUCACUACAGCCAAGCCUUCAAGGGAUGUCAGGUUUAUAAGGAUGGCACUCGCAUACAGUUCUGUGAUCAUUGUGACAGUUCCCUG